rnacentral:rRNA from 1 species
ACUGCCUCAUCUGCUUUCACAAGUACCCAUGCUUCAGAACCAUAUAACAGCACGGGUAGUAUCAGUGUCUUGUAUAGUGUAAUCUUCGUCUGUCGAGAGGUGGCCUUGUUUCUAAACUGGCCUUGUUUCUAAACUGGCCUUGUUUCUAAACUGGCCUUGUUUCUAAAAAAAGAAUCUGUGCAUAGUUUCAGUUCAUUAUCCCUAUUUUUAAGGACUGUAGUGAGAUUUCAACAGACGGACGGACAUGUCUAGAUCGUCUUAGAUUUUUACCCUGAUCAAGAUUUUUACGCUUAUGGUCCCUUAGACGAAUAUUUCGAUGUGUUGCGAACGGAAUGACAAAAUGAAUGUAUGAGGGCUUCAAAAAUGUACCACUUUGCCUGAAGUUGGUUUCUGGAAGAACUUAAAAAGUACUACUAAAUUUCCCAUGAGCAUUCCAUUAAGUAAAAGGAGAUACUUCUCUUAUAUCAAUGCGUUUAGUCCGAUUAAAGUUAAAGCUCAAUGAUUUUUAUGCCGCUGCUGAAUUUUUUUUUAUGUUUAUGACAGGAAGGACGUUGAGCUGAAGACGGCUGGAACAAAUCUUGGAGCUGGUCGAGUGGGUGUGUGAAGUUCUGAUGUUUUCAAAGUUUUAACACGGUGUCGCUGUUAUUCCUUGUGACUAACAUUAUGCAUACCGUGUGUGUGAAUGUUUCGGCGGCACUCCUGUUUUGGUUCAGAUUUGUGCUGAGUUAUUUUGGUUAAUGCCAUCUAAUUUUUGAAUGACGUGUUGCUACGGGAUGUUGCUUGCAUCAUCCCAUUAGGUGACCAGUCCGGAACUGUCUGUAUUUCAAUUGGUAGUAGGGAGUCUGGAGACCCUGAAACAUCCUGACUAUUGGUGAGGUCCCUGUUGAGGUUUAACACCUAAAAUCGCAGGAAGGGCAUUUCGAUGCUCGGUGUGGAGUUACAUGUACUAAACGGGGUGCCGUGACCCAUGAAACGUAAAGAGUUUGGAUUGUGCUCUGCUCUUAGCCAAGGGGGAGGACAUAUCCAGACAACGUGAACUCGAAGAGGUACUCAUGGUAGCUUCGGCUAUGUAUGGGGGCGUUGGUGGACGCAUCGUUUUCACCCGGGAUUAAGAGCCCUGCAGGAUUAAGCCAUCGUGGCACGUGCCUGCAUAAAACACCAUUUGGGCUUGUCCUUAUCUACUAUCUAACGAUACCAAAGCCAAGGGAACGGGUUUGGAAUAAUUAGCAGGGAAAGAGACCCUGUUGAGCUUGACUCUAAUCUGGCAGUGUAAGGAGAUAUAAGAGGUGUAGAAUGAGUGGGAGAUAUUGGCCUUCGGGCCUUUAUUGAUAAUGAAAUACCACUACUCUUAUUGUUUCCUUAUUUACUUGACAAUGCGGAACGUGUAUCAUUUCUUAGCCUUUAUACGGAUAUAUUUAAAUAUCUUAUGGUAUUGGGUUUUGAUGCAAUCUAUUUGAUCAAACUACUAAGUGUUUGUUAUAUAAUUGUAAACAAAUCUCGAUGAGAUGAUGGCAUUUCGGUACCAUUGCCGUAUUUAAAAUUUGGUAUAACACCUCUCUAACAUCUCGCAAAUAAUAACGGAAGUGUCCCAAGGCCAGUUAAGUGCAGGCAGAAACUACACAUAGAGCAAAAGGGCAAAUGCUGACGUUAUCUCGGUAUUCAGCACACACAGGGACAGCAAAAGCUCUUCCUAUCGAUCCUUUUGGUUUAAUGAGUUUUUAACAAGAGCUGUCAGAAAAGUUACCACAGGGAUAACUGGCUUGUGGCGGCCAAGCGUUCAUAGCGAUGUCGCUUUUUGAUCCUUCGAUGUCGGCUCUUCCAAUCAAUGGGAAGCAAAAUUCACCAAGCGUUGGAUUGUUCACUCAUGCAAGGGAACGUGAACUGGGUUUAGACAGUCGUGAGACAGGUUAGUCCUAAACUACUAAUGACAUAUGUUGUUGCGACAGCUCCUGCAACAACGAGAGGAACCGCAGGUAUGGAUCUAUGGCACAAUACUUGUUCGAACGAACAGUGGUAUGACGCUACGUCCGUUGGAUUAUGCUUGAACGCCUUUAAGGUUGAAUCCGAGCUGGACUGCAAUGAUAAAAAUGGGGCAAUUGGAUUGGCUACUUCCUACUUUCCUGCUUGGAGCAUUUUAAAAAUUUUAUUAUUUUCCAUAUUUUUUAUACAUCGUCUUUACGUAGGAUGCGAAAGCAGAACAGAGUACUCUUUUAAGGUCUCCUUAAAUCCAUUCUACUCUACAGACGAUUGAUGGUGGU